AUUGAACGCUGGCGGCAGGCCUAACACAUGCAAGUCGAGCGGAGCGGGGGACGGGGGAUUAAUGCCUAGGAAUCUGCCUGGUCGUGGGGGAUACGGUCCGGAAACGGGCACUAAUACCGCAUACUAUCAGAUUAGGCUCGGUCGGCUUAGCUAGUUGGUGGGGUAAAGGCCUACCAAGGCGACGGUCCGUAACUGGUCUGAGAGGAUGAUCAGGCACACUGGAACUGAGACACGGCCCAGACUCCUACGGGAGGCAGCAGUGGGGAAUCUUGGACAAGGGGCGAAAGCCGGAUCCAGCCAUGCCGCGUGGGUGAAGAAGGUCUUCGGAUUGUAAAGCACUGUAAGUUGGGAGGCGGUACCAACAGAAUAAGCACCGGCUAACUUCGUGCCAGCAGCCGCGGUAAUAC
rnacentral:rRNA from 1 species